rnacentral:rRNA from 1 species
AAUAGAUACCCUGGUAGUCCACGCCGUAAACGAUGAGUGCUAAGUGUUAGGGGGUUUCCGCCCCUUAGUGCUGCAGCUAACGCAUUAAGCACUCCGCCUGGGGAGUACGGUCGCAAGACUGAAACUCAAAGGAAUUGACGGGGGCCCGCACAAGCGGUGGAGCAUGUGGUUUAAUUCGAAGCAACGCGAAGAACCUUACCAGGUCUUGACAUCCCGCUGACCGUUCUAGAGAUAGAUCUUUCCCUUCGGGGACAGCGGUGACAGGUGGUGCAUGGUUGUCGUCAGCUCGUGUCGUGAGAUGUUGGGUUAAGUCCCGCAACGAGCGCAACCCUUGAUCUUAGUUGCCAGCAUUCAGUUGGGCACUCUAAGGUGACUGCCGGUGAUAAACCGGAGGAAGGUGGGGAUGGACGUCAAAUCAUCAUGCCCCUUAUGACCUGGGCUACACACGUGCUACAAUGGACGGUACAGAGGGUCGCAACCCCGCGAGGGUGAGCUAAUCCCAUAAAACCGUUCUCAGUUCGGAUUGUAGGCUGCAACUCCG